UACAGAGGCCCCAAGCGUUACUGAGAAUCACUGGGCUUAAAGGGUGCGUAGGCGGUCCGGUAAGUGCGUUGUGAAAUCCCUGGGCUCAACCCAGGAAAUGCUUCGAAUACUGGCGGACUUGAGGCUAGUAGAGGUCACUGGAACUGACGGUGGAGCGGUGAAAUGCGUAGAUAUCGUCAGGAACGCCGGUGGUGAAGACGGGUGACUGGGCUAGUUCUGACACUGAGGCACGAAAGCGUGGGGAGCGAACGGG
rnacentral:rRNA from 1 species